GCCUGGAUAGCUCAGUCGGUAGAGCAGGGGAUUGAAAAUCCCCGUGUCGGUGGUUCGAUUCCGCCUCCGGGCACCA
rnacentral:tRNA from 1 species